CAACUUUAUUUUGAUUCACAGUCCAGUUUAAAUAUUCACACUUGGUUCGCUCGACAUACCGUUGCUCUACACUACUAGCGGGAGCAUUUGCCAUCACGAAGAUCACCGGAUACCGAGACGUAACCGGCAGCACCUGCUACAUACCAGAGAGCACUAUGUGGAAGCGAGUGACGACGACUGGAGUACGCCCGGUCCAGACAAGAAUGGCACGGAGCUUUCUGUCCAGACAGAGUCGACGCCGUGCAACGAGGCGACGUCACAGAUCCAGGAAACUCCAAACGGCGAUGCAGCACCUACAGCCAACGGAAACCUGGCCAUUGCUACGACAACGCAGCCCUUAGCACCGUCACGCCAACAGCAACCUUCAGGCGGUGGCGGGUCAGGGGCACCAAGCCAGGAAGUCUACUCGCACGGUGAAGCCUCCAGAGCAUCUCCAUUAUGACUCCGACUUCAAUCAAGUGGCAUGAACUUGUACUCAGUCUUUUGUUACCCGUGAAGAGAUGUAUCGGGCUUAUGUACAACGCCUCGCAUGACAAGGCACUAGUCAUGCGCAGUGCUUCCGGCGCUAUCUGAUAAAUACCGCCGACGUCCAUUAAACUAUGUUCUUGUUGCCGU